ensembl:lncRNA
UGCAGCUGUGGGAUGGUUACCAAGAAGUCUUGCCCAGAGGUAUCUCCUAUGUCGAUUCUAGGAGAUACCCACUGCUUGUGAGGAUUCCUCUAGCCAGCAGGAUGGGGAUGGCUGCUGAGGUCAUUUCAGCUAUUUCAUCAGCUGUCUUGGUGAAAAAGGGGCUCCGUGCUGAGUACCAAAGAUGGAAUGGGAAUGUUCCUUCACUGCCAGUAAACUUGUUCAGGAGCUGCACACAACUGAGACCUUCCCUUCAUCUCCCUGGGAGGCUGCAGCCAGUUCAUCAAAGGGUAGUGAUCCAAGUCUCUGUCAUCUCCAGGAAUCAUUGCAGUGUGUUCACCCUUGGCUAAGCUUGAAGGAGCCCUGAAAGUUGCAGCUCAGGCAAGAGAUGAUUGUGCGCUUCUCUGUGCGGCUUCCACUGAACCUGUGAUGCAUUCAGGAGCACCAACCUCCUUCAGGAGCCUCAAUGCAGCUCAAGAUGGUAUUCUCAAAUGGGAACUGCCUUUCUGGGUUGCCUCGUGUGACACGGAGAGCUUCCCUCUGCUUGGAGUCCUCCGUGGCACUUCAGAUCAGUGACAGUGUCAGAUCACUGGCUGCAGUCUUUGCAUAGCUUCCCUCUUGACCCAGCUUGCUGUAUUCCAGGUUUUUUCACUUUCAGUGUUCUGGUAAAAAAAACUGUUCAUUCAGCCAUUCAGCCUGCACAAGCAAUAUGGAGUAGGGAGGAGGUUUUUUGGUUUUGUUUUUGUUUUUUCUUCUUUUUUUGGUGUGUGUGUGCGUGUGUAAAAUGCAGGUUAGCUGCUAGUUUGCAGCCCUGCAGCUGUAGGCUUAGUGUGGACGUAAGUGACCAAGCAAAUGUCUAUCCAGAGUGGCUGUCCCUGCAGGCUGUCUUCUGUGGCACUUGGACUGCAGGUUCCUGUGGCCUCUCAGCUGACUGCCUCAUAGUGCUUCUGAUUUUAAUAAAC